UCCCUGGAGUUCAUGCGAUUUGUGGAGAAUAAUGUCAGCAAGGAUAGCCUACAGCUCAGGGAGAUUGCUGUUAAAAGUUAUGGUUUGAGUGGCCGUACACUCCGGAAGUUGCCUUUCAUUGCUCACUCUAUGUUCAUACAGAAAUCAGAAGCCAUACUACAGGAAUUCUUAGUGGCCCUUGAUAAGGCCGUGCAACAGCAGUUUAAGGAGAGAAAUGACCUCACUAG